GGUAGGUUAGCUCAGGAGUUUGCAGCACGGUGCUGGUAACGCUGAGGACAUGGGUUCAAUUCCCAUACUUGCCA
rnacentral:tRNA from 1 species